rnacentral:rRNA from 1 species
UGCCAGCAGCCGCGGUAAUACGAAGGGGGCAAGCGUUACUCGGAAUUAUUGGGCGUAAAGAGUGCGUAGGUGGUUUAAUUAGUUAGAAGUGAAAUCCUCUGGCUCAACCAGAGAACUGCUUUUAAUACUAUUAGACUUGAGUUUUAGAGGGGAUGGAGGAAUUCCUAAUGUAGGGGUGAAAUCCGUAGAUAUUAGGAGGAACAUCGAAAGCGAAAGCAUCCAUCUAGCUAAAUACUGACACUGUUGCACGAAAGCGUGGGGAGCAAACAGGAUUAGAUA